rnacentral:misc_RNA from 1 species
GAUGGUCGCGGUGCGAGGCGACGAGCCGGCGGGCAAUGCCCUGACGCGUGAAUCGGCGCUUCGUGGCGCGGUGAGGUGGGCGGCACGGUGAGCGGUACUAUCGGAGUCUCGAGCCCGGUGGUGUGCGGUGCGCGGCGUGAAGCGCGGGGUGUUUUGGCCGUGCGAGGAUUUCGAGACGUAUGUAGCGAUCGAGAAGAUGCCGGUCUCGAUCUCGAGAUCUCUCGAGGGAGACGGAGAACCCUCCACCUCCGUUGUGUUCGAGCCGGGUGAUCGGGCGUUUUUUUAAGGAAGGUCUGUAGCCGAGAACUCUCAGCGAAGGCGGAGUACGCUCUACCCUCUGCUACGGAGACGAACUAGAAGUUAAAAUGCGAGCGGUACCGAGAGCUCUCGGUUAAGACAGAGAACACUCUACCCUAUUUACCGAUUGUAGGAAGCUUCUCAGGAUCGUACUCUGGUCGGGAUCGGGAUCCAGCGUACGGUCGGAGCGAGAAGUGUCGCAGCCAGUGUUGCUGUUCGUGCCGCUUUUUUCGCGCAUGCGCAGCACAAUGACGGUUGACGCCGGCGUGAUACAGCGGUGUAAUGUGGACUCAAUACGUGGGCGCAACAAGGGCACGAAGUAUUUUGACGGGCUGCUGCUGGCUGCUGCUUCUGACAGUGAGAUGGUAGGUCUGAUAUGUAAGUUAAGAUGUAAGUUAGGAGAUAAGUUAGGAAGUAAGUUAGUAUGUAAGUGUUUUAUGUAAGUGUUUUACGUAAGUGUUUAAUUAAUUAACUUUUUUUGUAUAUUUUAUUUUAUAUAUUUUAUAUAAUGGAAAAUUUAAAUAAAAAAGGAGCUAAUAAAAAAGUAAUAAAUCGGGAAUUUAAAACUUGUUGACUAGAUGAAGAUAUAUUUAAAGGCUGGCUGACUCCCCAUCCUACAGAGAAUAAGGCAUUAUGUAGUUUAUGUAAUAAAUCCAUCAGAUGCUGCAAAACAGAUUUAGUAAGGCAUUCGCAGAGGGCUAAACAUAUAGAAAAAAUUAAAGAAAAUUGUCAAAGUCUUGAUAACAAUAAUAAUAGUAAUGAUAAUAAUGUAAUUUCACACUCGGAUAAAGUUAAACGUGCAGAAAUAAAAUUAGCAGCGUUUUAUGCAGAGCAUAAUGUUGCUCUUUAUACCGCAGAUCAUUUAAUACCUUUGUUAAAAGAUAUUUUUAUAGAUUCAAAAAUUAUGCACGAUCUUACACUAGCUCGAUCUAAGUGCGGCCAAAUUAUAAAAGAAGUAAUUGCAAAACGUGAGACAGAAAAAUUAGUUAAUAUUUUACAAAAUCAUAAAUUUUCAAUAUUAAUUGACGAAAGCACUGACAUUGCAGACACAAAACUUAUGUGCGUUCUUGUUAAAUUUGUUUCACCUUUAGAUAAAAAAGUAAAGACACAAUUAUUAGAAUUAGUCUCAUUAAAUGCAUCCGACUGCUCAGCAAAUAAAAUUUUUGAUACUUUUAAGAAACUUUUAGAAGAAAAAGAAAUCCCGAUAAAAAAUAUAAUUGGAAUAACAAGCGAUAACGCGUCAGUUAUGAUUGGAUGCAAGAAUUCAUUUUUUUCUCGUCUGCAAUCAGAAGUACCAAGUGUCAUAUUACUAAAUUGUACUUGCCAUUCUUCCGCGAUUAUUGCUAGCAAAGCUUGUGAAAAAUUACCGUCAUCGUGUGAAAGUUUAAUAAGAGGAGUUGCAACUUAUAUAUCGGGUAGUGCUAAGAGAUGUGCUAUUUUACGCGAAUUCCAGGAUUUUUUUAAUGUUGAAAAAAAUAAAAUUUUAAAAUUAUCAAAUACAAGAUGGCUUGUUUUACAUAAAUGUGUUGUCAGGCUUCUCAACAAUUGGGACGUUUUAAAACAUUAUUUUCUUUUUUCAGUAGCCGAAGAUAAUAGUAGAUCUGCGGAAAUUAUUCUAACUCAAUUAAAUGACAACACAAUUAAAGCUUAUUUAUUAUUUUUGAAAUAUUCAUUAAAUUUUUUAAAUAGCUUUAACGGUCUUUUUCAGUCACGCCAAAUUAUGAUUCAUCAAUUAUUUGAAGAAAGUCGAAAAUUAAUUCAUCAAAUUGCUCAAAAUUUUGUAAAACCCGAUGCUUUAAAAAAUAUUGUUACUCUGAACAUAGAUGAUGACAAAAAUAUACAACACCUUAAUAAUAUAUAUUUGGGGCCCGAAUGCGAAUGUUUAUUAGUUACACAAUCUGUAGAAUGCGCGCAAGAAAUUAGAAUAAAUUGUUUAGAUUUUUAGGACUUCCGUUUCCGGUGUCAUAGAGAGUGACAGGUGUGUGUGUGGCGUGUGAAAGAGCGAGUGAGUAAGGUGGUUAAGAAGCAGAGAAUAAUUGCGAGAGGGGUGGCAGUGAGAGAAGGUACGUUAGGUGGAGUAGGGGAAGAAGAGUAGGAGAGGAGAAAUUAGUAAUUAGUUAAUUAGAGACGAAAGAGAAUUGAGUGGGCAGGAUUAAAAAACAAGGGGGAUGUAGCGAAAAAGAAGGGGAGGCCGACAAAUUUAGAAAGGCUGACUAGGGAAAGAACAAGAAGCAUGAAUAGCAUAGAAGAAAUGUUGAUAAGGGGAAAAAGGAAGGAACGAGAGCAGGAUGAGGAGGGGAUGGAGAUAAUGGAAGAGGAGGAGAUACUUAAAAGAAGCAGAAUAGGAAAGGGGUCUCCGGAAACGAAUGAGUGUAGAGGGGGCAAUUUGGGUAAAAUAUUAGAGGAAUUAGGAAAGCUGGGAAAGAAAAUGGAUGAAGGAAAGGAGGAGUUGAAGAAACAGAUAGCAGAUCUAAAAAAUAGGUGGGAGGAGGAAAGGAGAGAAAUGAGGGAUAGGAUAGAGUUGAUGGAAAAAAGAAUAGAAGACUUAGAAGAGAAAUUGGAGAAGGAGGGGGAUAAAAGGAGGGAAAUUUUAAAAGAAGAGGGGAGAAAGGAAGGAAAGGAGGGGGCAGGGGAGAUAACGAGAAGAAUGAGAGAGGUCGAAGUAAGGUUAGACAAAAGGGAGAGGGAAUCAAGGAGAAAUAAUAUAAUAGUCAAAGGAAUUAAGAUAGGAGAGGGAAAGGUGGAAGAGACAAUAAAGGAGCUUUGGGGGGAAAUGGGUAUAGAAGAGAGCCUAAGAGAGGUAAGGAGAGUAGGAGGGGUAGACAGAGAGGGGAGAGGGAUGAUGUUAGUAAAGUUAGGAAGCUUGGAGAGCAAGAGGAGAGUGAUGGAGGCAAAGAAGAGACUAAAAGGUAGAAGGGAGAGGAUAGAUGACGAUUUAACGAGAGAGGAGAGAAGAGCGAGAUGGAAAAUAGAAAGGGAAGCAGAUAAA